rnacentral:rRNA from 1 species
AUUGAACGCUGGCGGCAUGCCUUACACAUGCAAGUCGAACGGCAGCGCGGACUUCGGUCUGGCGGCGAGUGGCGAACGGGUGAGUAAUACAUCGGAACGUACCCUGUUGUGGGGGAUAACUAGUCGAAAGAUUAGCUAAUACCGCAUACGACCUGAGGGUGAAAGUGGGGGACCGCAAGGCCUCACGCAGCAGGAGCGGCCGAUGUCUGAUUAGCUUGUUGGUGGGGUAAAGGCCCACCAAGGCGACGAUCAGUAGCUAGUCUGAGAGGACGAUCAGCCACACUGGGACUGUGACACGGCCCAGACUCCUACGGGAGGCAGCAGUGGGGAAUUUUGGACAAUGGGGGCAACCCUGAUCCAGCAAUGCCGCGUGUGUGAAGAAGGCCUUCGGGUUGUAAAGCACUUUUGUCCGGAAAGAAAUCGCGCUGGUUAAUACCUGGCGUGGAUGACGGUACCGGAAGAAUAAGCACCGGCUAACUACGUG